rnacentral:rRNA from 1 species
UACGUAGGGUGCAGGCGUUAAUCGGAAUUACUGGGCGUAAAGCGUGCGCAGGCGGUUUGCUAAGACAGGUGUGAAAUCCCCGGGCUUAACCUGGGAACUGCGCUUGUAACUGGCAAGCUGGAGUGUGGCAGAGGGGGGUGGAAUUCCACGUGUAGCAGUGAAAUGCGUAGAUAUGUGGAGGAACACCGAUGGCGAAGGCAGCCCCCUGGGCUAACACUGACGCUCAUGCACGAAAGCGUGGGGAGCAAACAGG